rnacentral:lncRNA from 1 species
CUUUAUUCAAACGGAAGGAAGAGAGAUAGAAUCAGACCGAUUCCCUAAAUACCUUUCUGGAUAUUCCUCAAUGCCCCGGCUAUUCACGGAACGUGAAAAGCGAAUGAAUAAUCAUCUGCUUCCGGAAGAAAGCGAAGAAUUUUUUUGGAAUUCUACAAGAGCCAUUCGUUCUUUUUUCUCUGACAGAUGGUCAGAACUUCAUCUGGGUUCGAAUCCUACUGAGAGGUCCACUAGGGAUCAGAAAUUGUUGAAGAAAGAACAAGAUGUUUCUUUUGUCCCUUCCAGGCGAUCGGAAAAUAAAGAAAUAGUUAAUAUAUUCAAGAUAAUUACGUAUUUACAAAAUACCGUCUCAAUUCAUCCUAUUUCAUCAGAUCUGGGAUGUGAUACGGUUCCGAAGGAUGAACUGGAUAUGGACAGUUCCAAUAAGAUUUCAUUCUUGAACAAAAAUCCAUUUUUUUAUUUAUUUCAUCUAUUCCAUGAACGGAAGAGGGGGGGAUACACGUUACGCCACGAUUUUGAGUCAGAAGAGAGAUUUCAAGAAAUGGCAGAUCUAUUCACUCUAUCAAUAACCGAGCCGGAUCUGGUGUAUCAUAAGGGAUUUGCCUUUUCUAUUGAUUCCUACGGAUUGGAUCAAAGACAAUUCUUGAAGGAGGUUUUCAACUCCAGGGAUGAAUUGAAAAAGAAAUCUUUAUUGGUUCUACCUCCUAUUUUUUAUGAAGAAAAUGAAUCUUUUUAUCGAAGGAUCAGAAAAAAUUGGGUCCGGAUCUCCUGCGGGAAUUUUUUUGAAGAUCCAAAACCAAAAAGAGUGGUAUUUGCUAGCAACAACAUAAUGGAGGCAGUCAAUCAAUAUAGAUUGAUCCGAAAUCUGAUUCAAAUCCAAUUCCAAUAUAGUCCCUAUGGGUACAUAAGAAAUGUAUUGAAUCGAUUCUUUUUAAUGAAGAGACCUGAUCGCAACUUCGAAUAUGGAAUUCAAAGGGAUCUAAUAGGAAAUGAUACUCUGAAUCAUAGAACUAUAAUGAAAGAUACGAUCAACCAACAUUUAUCGAAUUUGAAAAAGAGUCAGAAGAAAUGGUUCGAUCCUCUUAUUUUUCUUUCUCGAACCGAGAGAUCCAUAAAUCGGGAUCCUAAUGCAUAUAGAUACAAAUGGUCCAAUGGGAGCAAGAAUUUCCAGGAGCAUUUGAAACAUUUCGUUUCUGAGCGGAAGAGCCGUUUUCAAGUAGUGUUCGAUCGAUUAUGUAUUAAUCAAUAUUCGAUUGAUUGGUCUGAGGUUAUUGAUAAAAAAGAUUUGUCUAAGUCACUUCGUUUCUUUUUGUCCAAGUUACUUCGUUUUUUGUCCAAGUUACUUCUCUUUUUGUCUAACUCACUUCCUUUUUUCUUUGUGAGUUUCGAGAAUAUCCCCAUUCAUAGGUCUGAGAUCCACAUCUAUGAAUUGAAAGGUCCGAACGAUCAACCCUGCAAUCAGUUGUUAGAAUCAAUAGGUCUUCAAAUCGUUCAUUUUAAAAAAUUGAAACCCUUUUUAUUGGAUGAUCAUAAUACUUCUCAAAAAUCGAAAUUCUUGAUCAAUGGAGGAACAAUAUCACCAUUUUUGUUCAAUAAGAUACCAAAGUGGAUGAUUGACUCAUUCCAUACUAGAAAGAAUCGCAGGAAAUCUUUUGAUAACACGGAUUCCUAUUUCUCAAUCGUAUCCCACGAUCAAGACAAUUGGCUGAAUCCCGUGAAACCAUUUCAGAGAAGUUCAUUGAUAUCUUCUUUUUCUAAAGCAAAUCGACUUCGAUUCUUGAAUAAUCCACAUCACUUCUGCUUCUAUUGUAACAAAAGAUUCCCUUUUUAUGUGGAAAAGGCCCGUCUCAAUAAUUCUGAUUUUACGUAUGGACAAUUCCUCACUAUCUUGUUCAUUCACAACAAAAUAUUUUCUUCGUGUGGUGGUAAAAAAAAACAUGCUUUUUUGGAGAGAGAUACUAUUUCACCUUCGUCAAUCGAGUCACAGGUAUCUAACAUAUUCAUAUCUAACGAUUUUCCACAAAGUGGUGACGAAAGGUAUAACUUGUACAAAUCUUUCCAUUUUCCAAUUCGAUCCGAUCCAUUAGUUCGUAGAGCUAUUUACUCGAUUGCAGACAUUUCUGGAACACCUCUAAUAGAGGGACAAAGAGUAAAUUUGGAAAGAACGUAUUGUCAAACUCUUUCAGAUAUGAAUCUAUCCGAUUCAGAAGAGAAGAGCUUGCAUCAGUAUCUCAAUUUCAAUUCAAACGUGGGUUUGAUUCACACUCCAUGUUCUGAGAAAUAUUUACAGAGGAAAAAACGGAGUCUUUGCCUAAAAAAAUGCGUUGACAAAGGGCAGAUGGAUAGAACCUUUCAACGAGAUAGUGCUUUUUCAACUCUCUCAAAAUGGAAUCUAUUCCAAACAUAUAUGCCAUGGUUCUUUACUUCGACAGGGUACAAAUAUCUAAAUUUGAUAUUUUUAGAUAUUUUUUCAGACCUAUUGCGGAUACUAAGUAGCAGUCAAAAAUUUGUAUCCAUUUUUCAUGAUAUUAUGUAUGGAUUAGAUAUAUCAUGGCGAAUUCUUCAGAAAAAAUUGUGUCUUCCACAAAGGAAUCUGAUAAGUGAGAUUUCGAGUAAGUCUUUACAUAAUCUUCUUCUGUCCGAAGAAAUGAUUCAUCGAAAUAAUGAGUCAUCGUUGAUAUCGACACAUCUGAGAUCGCCAAAUGUUCGUGAGGUCCUCUAUUCAAUCCUUUUCCUUCUUCUUGUUGCUGGAUAUAUCGUUCGUACACAUCUUCUCUUUGUUUCCCGAGCCUAUAGUGAGUUACAGACAGAGUUCGAAAAGAUCAAAUCUUUGAUGAUUCCAUCAUACAUGAUUGAGUUGCGAAAACUUCUGGAUAGGUAUCCUACAUCUGAACAGAAUUCUUUCUGGUUAAAGAAUCUUUUUCUAGUUGCUCUGGAACAAUUAGGAGAUUGUCUAGAAGAAAUACGGGGUUCUGGCGGCAACAUGCUAUGGGGUGGUGAUCCCGCUUAUGGGGUCAAAUCAAUACGUUCUAAGAAGACAGAUUUGAAAAUAAACUUCAUCGAUAUCAUCGAUCUCAUAAGUAUCAUACCAAAUCCCAUCAAUCGAAUCACUUUUUCGAGAAAUACGAGACAUCUAAGUCAUACAAGUAAAGACAUCUAUUCAUUGAUAAGAAAAAGAAAAAACGUGAGCGGUGAUUGGAUUGAUGAUAAAAUAGAAUCCUGGGUCGCGAACAGUGAUUCGAUUGAUGAUAAAGAAAGAGAAUUCUUGGUUCAGUUCUCCACCUUAAGGGCAGAAAAAAGGAUUGAUCAAAUUCUAUUGAGUCUGACUCAUAGUGAUCAUUUAUCAAAGAAUGACUCUGGUUAUCAAAUGAUUGAACAACCGGGAACAAUUUACUUACGAUACUUAGUUGACAUUCAUAAAAAGUAUCUAAUGAAUUAUGAGUUCAAUACAUCCUGUUUAGCAGAAAGACGGAUAUUCCUUGCUCAUUAUCAGACAAUCACUUAUUCACAAACUUCGUGUGGGGCUAAUAGUUUUCAUUUCCCGUCUCAUGGAAAACCCUUUUCGCUCCGCUUAGCCCUAUCCCCCUCUAGGAGUAUUUUAGUGAUAGGUUCUAUAGGAACCGGACGAUCCUAUUUGGUCAAAUACCUAGCGACAAACUCCUAUGUUCCUUUCAUUACAGUAUGUCUGAACAAGUUCCUGGAUAACAAGCCGAAAGGUUUUUUUCUUGAUGAUAUCGAUAUUGAUGAUAGUGACGAUAUUGAUGCUAGUAACGAUAUUGAUCGUGAACUUGAUACGGAGCUGGAGCUUCUAACUAUGAUGAAUGCGCUAACUAUGGAUAUGAUGUCGGAAAUAGACCGAUUUUAUAUCACCCUUCAAUUCGAAUUAGCAAAAGCAAUGUCUCCUUGCAUAAUAUGGAUUCCAAACAUUCAUGAUCUUGAUGUGAAUGAGUCGAAUUACUUAGCCCUCGGUCUCUUGGUGAACUCUCUCUCCAGGGAUUGUGAAAGAUGUUCGACUAGAAAUAGUCUUGUUAUUGCUUCGACUCAUAUUCCCCAAAAAGUGGAUCCCGCUCUAAUAGCCCCGAAUAAAUUAAAUACAUGCAUUAAAAUAAGAAGGCUUCUUAUUCCACAACAACGAAAGCACUUUUUCACUCUUUCNNNNNNNNNNNNNNNNNNNNNNNNNNNNUCUUUCCUAUACUAGGGGAUUUCACUUGGAAAAGAAAAUGUUCCAUACUAAUGGAUUCGAGUCCAUAACCAUGGGUUCCAGUGCACGAGAUCUUGUAGCACUUACCAAUGAGGCCUUAUCAAUUAGUAUUACACAGAAGAAAUCAAUUAUAGACACUAAUACAAUUAGAUCUGCUCUUCAUAGACAAACUUGGGAUUUGCGAUCCCAGGUAAGAUCGGUUCAGGAUCAUGGGAUCCUUUUCUAUCAGAUAGGAAGGGUUGUUGCACAAAAUGUACUUAUAAGUAAUUGCCCCAUAGAUCCUAUAUCUAUCUAUAUGAAGAAGAAAUCAUGUAACGAAGGGGAUUCUUAUUUGUACAAAUGGUACUUCGAACUUGGAACGAGCAUGAAGAAAUUCACGAUACUUCUUUAUCUUUUGAGUUGUUCUGCCGGAUCGGUCGCUCAAGACCUUUGGUCUCUACCCGGACCCGAUGAAAAAAAUAGGAUCACUUCUUAUGGAUUCAUUGAGAAUGAUUCGGAUCUAUUUCAUGGCCUAUUAGAAGUGCAAGGCGCUUUGGUGGGAUCCUCACGGACAGAAAAAGAUUGCAGUCAGUUUGAUAAUGAUCGAGUGACAUUGCUUUUUCGCUCCGAACCAAGGGAUCCCUUAUAUAUGAUGCAAGAUGGAUCUUGUUCUAUCGUUGAUCAGAGAUUUCUCUAUGAAAAAUACGAAUCGGAGUUUGAAGAAGGGGAAGGAGAAGCAGUCCUCGACCCGGAACAGAUAGAGGAGGAUUUAUUCAAUCACAUAGUUUGGGCUCCUAGAAUAUGGCGCCCUCGGGGCUUU